UGAAUCCAUCGGCGGUGCUGGUAGCAGCCCGGAGCGCAGCAGACAUGCGGCUUCCCGGGCGGCCCGGCGCCCGCCGGACAACGACGAGACCCUCCAAACGUCGACCUCGAAUCAGGUAGGGAUACCCGCUGAACUUAAGCAUAUCAAUAAGCGGAGGAAAAGAAACCAACAGGGAUUGCCUCAGUAACGGCGAGUGAAGCGGCAGCAGCUCAAAUUUGAAAUCUGGCGCCCCCCGGCGUCCGAGUUGUAAUUUGCAGAGGAUGCUUCGGCGUAGGCGCCGCCCAAAGUUCCUUGGAACGGGACGUCGCAGAGGGUGAGAGCCCCGUGUUCGGGCGGAUGCCUUCGCCGUGUGAAGCUCCUUCGACGAGUCGAGUUGUUUGGGAAUGCAGCUCAAAACGGGAGGUAAAUUUCUUCCAAAGCUAAAUACCGGCCGGAGACCGAUAGUGCACAAGUAGAGUGAUCGAAAGAUGAAAAGCACUUUGGAAAGAGAGUCAAACAGCGCGUGAAAUUGUUGAAAGGGAAGCGCUUGCGGUCAGAACUUGGCCGCCGUUGCUCGGGGAGGCCUCGC
rnacentral:rRNA from 1 species